rnacentral:rRNA from 1 species
GUACACACCGCCCGUCGCUACUACCGAUUGAAUGGCUUAGUGAGGCCUCUGGAGCUGGGGUCCUGAGAAAUUGGGACUCUGGUGAAACUGGUCAAACUUGGUCAUUUAGAGGAAGUAAAAGUCGUAACACGGUUUCCGUAGGUGAACCUGCAGAAGGAUCA